rnacentral:rRNA from 1 species
GAUGAACGCUGGCGGCGUGCCUAAUACAUGCAAGUCGAGCGAACAGACGAGAGUGCUUGCACUCUCUGACGUUAGCGGCGGACGGGUGAGUAACACGUGGGUAACCUACCUAUAAGACUGGGAUAACUUCGGGAAACCGGAGCUAAUACCGGAUAAUAUUUAGCUUCGCAUGAAGCAAUAGUGAAAGACGGUUCUGCUGUCACUUAUAGAUGGACCCGCGGUGUAUUAGCUAGUUGGUGAGGUAACGGCUCACCAAGGCAAAGAUACAUAGCCGACCUGAGAGGGUGAUCGGCCACACUGGGACUGAGACACGGCCCAGACUCCUACGGGAGGCAGCAGUAGGGAAUCUUCCGCAAUGGACGGAAGUCUGACGGAACAAUGCCGCGUGAGUGAAGAAGGUUUUCGGAUCGUAAAACUCUGUUGUAAGGGAAGAACAAGUACGUUAGUAACUGAACGUACCUUGACGGUACCUGACCAGAAAGCCACGGCUAACUACGUG